GACGAACGCUGGCGGCGUGCCUAAUACAUGCAAGUAGAACGCUGAAGAGAGGAGCUUACUCUUCUUGGAUGAGUUGCGAACGGGUGAGUAACGCGUAGGUAACCUGCCUUGUAGCGGUGGAUAACUAUUUGAAACGAUAUCUACUACCGCAUAACAAUGGAUGACACAUGUCAUUUAUUUGCAAGGGGCAAUUGCUCCACUACAAGAUGGACCUGCGUUGUAUUAGCUAGUAGGUGAGGUAAUGGCUCACCUAGGCGACGAUACAUAGCCGACCUGAGAGGGUGAUCGACCACACUGGGACUGAGACACGGCCCAGACUCCCACGGGAGGCAGCAGUAGGGAAUCUUCGGCAAUGGGGGCAACCCUGACCGAGCACCGACGCGUGAGUGGAGAAGGUUUUCGGAGCGUAAAGCUCUGUUGUAAGUCAAGAACGGGUGUGAGAGUAGAAAGUUCACGCUGUGACGGUAGCUUACCAGAAAGCGACGGCUAACUACGUG
rnacentral:rRNA from 1 species